GAGCCUGAGUCCCAGCCCAGCAUCCACCCAGCCCGCUCCUGCCUCCUGGGAGAUUCAUUUCUUCUGAGGCAGAGGAUGGAGAUGCCCCUGCUACUUUUUGCCCUGUUCUACCAUUUCAAUUGUGCCACCUCGGCAGUGACACUGGUGGAGUCUGGCCCAGGGGUGGUGAAGCCUGGACAGACCCUGACCCUGACCUGUGCUGUCUCUGGGGUCUCGAUGUCUCAGGCAAGCUAUGGUUGGCACUGGAUCAGACAGCCUCCUGGGAAAGUGCUGGAGUGGGUAGCAGCAACAUAUCCUUACGAUGGGACCACAUACUACAACCCAUCUCUCCAGAGCCGAACCACCAUCUCUGCAGACACAUCCAAGAGCCAGUUCUCCCUGCAGCUGCGCUCUCUGACAGCCGCAGACACCGCCACGUAUUACUGUGUAACACAGUGA